rnacentral:rRNA from 1 species
GACGAACGCUGGCGGCGUGCUUAACACAUGCAAGUCGAACGGAAAGGCCCUGCUUUUGUGGGGUGCUCGAGUGGCGAACGGGUGAGUAACACGUGAGUAACCUGCCCUUGACUUUGGGAUAACUUCAGGAAACUGGGGCUAAUACCGGAUAGGAGCUCCUGCUGCAUGGUGGGGGUUGGAAAGUUUCGGCGGUUGGGGAUGGACUCGCGGCUUAUCAGCUUGUUGGUGGGGUAGUGGCUUACCAAGGCUUUGACGGGUAGCCGGCCUGAGAGGGUGACCGGCCACAUUGGGACUGAGAUACGGACCAGACUCCUACGGGAGGCAGCAGUGGGGAAUAUUGCACAAUGGGCGGAAGCCUGAUGCAGCAACGCCGCGUGCGGGAUGACGGCCUUCGGGUUGUAAACCGAUUUCGCCUGUGACGAAGCGUGAGUGACGGUAAUGGGUCAAGAAGCACCGGCUAACUACGUG